rnacentral:rRNA from 1 species
AUUGAACGCUAGCGGGAUGCUUUACACAUGCAAGUCGAACGAGUGGCGGACGGGUGAGUAAUAUAUCGGAACGUGCCCAAUGGAGGGGGAUAACUACUCGAAAGAGUGGCUAAUCCCGCAUACCAUUGGAUGGGCCGAUAUCGGAUUAGCUAGUUGGUGGGGUAAAGGCUCACCAAGGCAACGAUCCGUAGCUGGUGUGAGAGGCGGACCAGCCACACUGGGACUGAGACACGGCCCAGACUCCUACGGGAGGCAGCAGUGGGGAAUUUUGGACAAUGGGGGCAACCCUGAUCCAGCCAUCCCGCGUGUAUGAGAAGGCCUUCGGGUUGUAAAGUACUUUUGGCAGGGAAGCGUUAUCUGCAGAAUAAGCACCGGCUAACUACGUGCCAGCCGCCGCGGUAAUUC